rnacentral:rRNA from 1 species
AGAAUCAACGCUGGCGGCGUGCCUAACACAUGCAAGUCGAACGAGAAAGUGGAGCAAUCCAUGAGUAAAGUGGCGACCGGGUGAGUAACACGUGACUAACCUACCUUCGAGUGGGGGAUAACCUCGGGAAACCGAGGCUAAUACCGCAUAACAUCGCAAGAUCAAAGCAGCAAUGCGCUGGAAGAGGGGGUCGCGGCUGAUUAGCUAGUUGGCGGGGUAAUGGCCCACCAAGGCGAAGAUCGGUAGCCGGCCUGAGAGGGCGCACGGCCACACUGGAACUGAAACACGGUCCAGACUCCUACGGGAGGCAGCAGUGGGGAAUUUUGCGCAAGUGGGGAAACCCUGACGCAGCAACGCCGCGUGGAGGAUGAAGCCCCUUGGGGUGUAAACUCCUUUCGACCAAGACGAUAAUGACGGUACUGGUGGAAGAAGCACCGGCUAACUCUGUGCCAGCAGCCGC